GACGUAGGGCGCGAGCGUUGUCCGGAUUUAUUGGGCGUAAAGAGCUCGUAGGCGGCUUGUCGCGUCGACUGUGAAAAACCACGACUCAACCGUGGGACUGCAGUCGAUACGGGCAGGCUAGAGUUCGGUAGGGGAGGCUGGAAUUCCUGGUGUAGCGGUGAAAUGCGCAGAUAUCAGGAGGAACACCGGUGGCGAAGGCGGGUCUCUGGGCCGAUACUGACGCUGAGGAGCGAAAGCGUGGGGAGCGAACAGG
rnacentral:rRNA from 1 species